rnacentral:pre_miRNA from 1 species
AGUGGAAUUGUUGGGUUAUAUGGUAAUUCUGUGUUUAGUUCUUUGAGAAACUGCCAAACAGCUUUCUACAGCAGCUGUACCAUUUUACAUUCCCACCAACAAU